CUUUCCUGUAUUUCCAUUUGCCCAAGUAAUGACUUCACAUUCAACUUCCAGCUUCAGUGAUUUUCUUUUCACGUAAUAUGAAGUUGCUUACUCUCUCCUGCUGCUCAGGUCAGAGGCAGUUGAACUUGGAGGUACAUUUGCUUGAAAUGCUCCCCUGCCACAUCCUUAUCUCUAAUUUGGAGAGAUAUGUAUUUGAAGGGUGGACUGUUUGGUGGAUAAGAAAUUGGUUGGAAGGUUGCAGCCAGAAGAAUGUGGUCGCUGAAUCUAUGUCCAGGUGGAGGCUGAAAUACUUAAGAAGUGUGAGCUCAUCAAACGGCUAUACAGAGUCAACAGAAAGCAUAAAAGAAUUUUGAGGAAGAAGGGCAUCAAAGCUCGUUCAGAACUGAAAACUAAGGUCCCACAGAGAAGGGUGCCAUGGUGCAGCUAUGCAAUAGCCAUCAGAAUGGGAAAUUACUGAGGGAGAUUGAAGUGCUCAGAACUGCUGGCUUAUGAUCACUCAAAAUUCAGAAUUGGUAUUGUAUUGCAAUUCCUCAUCAAAAACAUGCAGAAUCAUCUUUCUCGUCAAAAACAUUUCAUUGAGAUAGCAGUCUACUGUGCCUCCCAAAAGGAAAGUGCUGAAGAUGUCACUGAAAAUUAUCACCACUUUCUUCUGCAUCAAGAAAAUAUAACUCACAUACAUCUCCUGGGAAUAUGGAAAUUAUGAAUAUUUGAGUCUAUCAUUUUUCCUUGAGGCCUGCCAAUGAGGCACAGGAGGUUGUUGAACUUGGAGUGAUAAUGUUCUUUCAAAGGCAGCAGCAAGUGGAUGUCAGGUCUCAGUCUUUGGAUACUCCAACUAACAAAAGUUUCUGGUUUAUCUUUCCUGGAUUCCCUUUACAGAAAGGGAGCUAGCUAAGAAUAUCAACACCCUACUUGAACAUGAUGCUCUUUUACAAACCUGGAGAAAACAAGCAAGCAAACAAAAAACCCCCACAACCAUAAGGAAAAAAACACACACUGUCAAUCCAUAUCCUCUCAAGAAACAGCAUCCUAAAUCCUAAAUAACCAAAAAGCAUAGACUAUGUCUUCCAUGUGAACUUGGUAGGAUGUAAGAAUGCAUGCAGACACCGACCACUGCUUCUGGAGACAGCUCAUCCUCGGGAACUUGGGGCACCUGCAGGUUUACAAAGCACCUGUGCAGGGAAUGUGCAAUAGGCCAUAGCCUGGUGUGGCCAUGGGAAGCUCUGCGAAAGGAGACCUGCAGGUCCGUGGAGCCCUGCUCCAAGAUGGUUGUGAAUGCCAACAGUAAGAGAGAGGCACUUCAAGAUGGACUCAUUAUCCCUGUUGCUUGUUUUGCUCAAGUCUUGCUGAGCUGUGAAAACAGACCAAGUGAUCAUCUUUAUGCUUUUGAAAUGCAUAUAGUUAGAGAAAUUUCUGCCAAAAAAUUUCAUUUCCCUUUUCCUGAUUUAGUGCUUCACAGCAACCUACAAAGAAGUCCAGUGAGCAAGAGGGAAAACAGUGCUCAGAAGAGGGAGUGUUUAAAUAUGCUUUUUUUCCCAUGUUUUAAUGAAACACCUGCAAAUCAAAAUCAUGUUGCUUGAUCAUAAUGUCUUGUACAUCAUCCUGUAUAAUUGCUCCCAUUGUACUCCUGCAGCACAGACUACGUGUCAAUUACUGCUUCCAGAUUUGGAGAUGUAUACGCUUGUUACACCAUUACUGAAAGGCAUGAAAAUAAAAGUGUUUUCAUUUAGAUUAUUAACAUUAUGUAAAUGGCAACGUAACUAGUCUUGAUUUGCUGCCACUAACUUGGAAAUAUUUAAACAUUAUUAUUACUUAGCUCAACGUUCCAGUUUUAUCACUGAAAUUAAUGCAUUUAGGCUCAAUUUAGGCUUGUCAACAAAUAAUGAUCAUAGAUGUGAGCUGGUUCAUAAUCCAGAGGUACUAGGUUACAAUGUGUUGCCAUGGAAACUGUGUUUUAUUGCAUUUUCUCUACUUGAUUUAAGACAUUUGACAAUCAUAGCAACUGCUUGCCUGUCUUCCCAUGUCAUAAAAAAUUCAAAAACACAAACAACCAAUAGGGGAAAUUCAUACAGUUCGUGGCCCUCGCUACAAAAAUAAUAAAAAAAAGAAAUGACAACCUUAUAUUUAAUAGGGCCUUUUUGUGAAUAGUUUAUCUCACAGAAUGUCUAGGAGUGUUGGAAAAUUCAAUCAGUGGUUAGUCAUCGAAUGGACCUGUCUUGCCUGUGGUUCAUUUUGUUUAUUGCAUCAUAUAUCUUUUAUGAUCACUGGGACUUUAGCCUGAAACAGCAUUUUCUUUAACAACAGCCAUGUUUCCUCUAAUGUUGUUUAUUGCAUCUGAAACAUUGCUCUUUGAAACCACGGUACAUUUUCAGUUGAGCAAAGGUCUGUAACAGAAUACAGCAUGUCUGUGUUUACUCAGGAUCCUGGGUAAAAAAAAUCCCAGUUCAUGUAACAUUAAUCACUUUGCCAGUGUUCAGCUGAGGUCAUUGCCACAUUCCUAGCAGUAUUAAGCCGAGUCAAGAUUAAUCACGUACAUUAAACCCUGCAAGGAAAGCACGUGAAGCGGAUCUGAAAUUAGACAUUUGGUGAAGGACUGGGAGAGAGCUGUAACAAAAUAUGUUAGCAGUGCUGCAGCAAGCUUUCAGAACGAUGAGGGGUUUUUCCUCCUGUACUGCUGUCAGCUCAUCUAUAUUUAAGGCUUUGUUGCUGUCUCCUUUAUUUAACUCAUUUUUUAGAAGUUUUAGAUAAAGCUACUAAAAUUCUCUCUGGAUUGCAGGAGUGAUUCACCCCCCUCCCCCCCCCCCAUCCCCCCAUUACUUAUUUAUAUAUUUAAAAAAUGCAUUAGUGUAUUUUUAUUUAACUCAAAUUAGGCCUUUGGGAAGAAAGAAG
ensembl:lncRNA